rnacentral:rRNA from 1 species
UACGUAGGGGGCAAGCGUUAUCCGGAUUUACUGGGCGUAAAGCGCGUUAAGGCGGCCGGCUAAGUUGGUGGUGAAAUUCCAGGGCUCAACCCUGGAACUGCCUCCAAUACUGGUCGGCUCGAGUGCGAGAGAGGAAGGUGGAAUUCCCGGUGUAGUAGUGAAAUGCGUAGAUAUCGGGAGGAACACCAGUGGCGAAGGCGGCUCACUGGCCCGGUACUGACGCUGAGGUGCGAAAGCGUGGGGAGCAAACAGG